rnacentral:tRNA from 1 species
GGGCUCGUAGAUCAGUGGUAGAUCGCUGUGUUCGCAACGCAGAGGCCGCGGGUUCAAGUCCCGCCGGGUCCA